GGAUGAGCUGUGGAUAGGGGGUGAAAAGGCUAAAACAAAUCCGGAAAUAGCUGGUUCUCCCCCGAAAACUAUUUAGGUAGUGCGUCUUAUAUCACUGACGGGGGUAAAGCACUGUUAUGGCUAGGGGGUCAUCGCGACUUACCAAACCAUGGCAAACUCUGAAUACCGUCAAGUGCGAGUAAGGCAGACAGACAGUGGGUGCUAACGUCCAUUGUCAAGAGGGAAACAACCCAGACCGCCAGCUAAGGUCCCCAAGACACAGUUAAGUGGGAAACGAAGUGGGAAGGCAUAGACAGCUAGGAGGUUGGCUUAGAAGCAGCCACCCUUUAAAGAAAGCGUAAUAAGCUCACUAGUCGAGUCGUCCUGCGCGGAAGAUGUAACGGGGCUCAAACUGUGCACCGAAGCUGCGGAUAUCGAAAGAAUAUGGUAGGGGAGCGUUCUGUAGGUCUGUGAAGGUGUCUUGU
rnacentral:rRNA from 1 species